GGCCCCGUAGCUCAACUGGCAGAGCAGCGGACUCUUAAUCCGUUUGUUGAAGGUUCGAUUCCUUCCGGGGUCA
rnacentral:tRNA from 1 species